UAUAUAUAUAUUUAGAGUUUAUUAUCGAAAUGGUGUCUCAACUAUUACAAAAUUACUAAUUUGAUCAUCGAUAAUUUUUCUUACCCAAUUAAGU